ensembl:lncRNA
CUAAGACAUUUUUCCUUUUCAUAUUUGAACAUUUCUGAAAUCAAGGUAUAUCUUCAAGUGAUGCCCCUUCAUAAAUACUUAGCAGUACUUUCUCAAGUCUGUAUGAAAGCACUGUGGGUCCUACACGUCAAAGACAAGCUUUCUAGUCCGCAAACUGCAGUGGCUCUCAUUGGCCCAAGCACAUCACGUGUCUCUCACCCGCCAAUCACUGCAACUCUGGUUGGGAAGCCUUAGGCUCAUCUCUGGUGUUAACUGGUUGGAGUCAGCAUCACCUAAGCAAAAGGAGCGACAGAGGAACGGCAGUUUCUGAGAGGAAAAUCAAAGUGUCACUGCCCCCCGGAGAGAUGGCUGUGGAUUCCCGGCAGGCAGAAACAACUGCUGCCUCCUCUGCUCAGAGUCAUUCCGGAAUUCGGUCAAGUUGGCCAUGUCAGAGAAAGCCUCAGAAGGUGGUCAUUUUGCCAUUGACUUUAACAGCUAGACUGACACUCAUUCCCCGCGGUAGCUGGUGUGUGCUGAACCUGUCACCGCCUCUUCAAAACAUUGCUGGUUUCCAUGGAAACAAAAAAGCACUUACUGAAAGAGCUGCUGGAAAUUUCGAGUCAAGAUGUCCAAAACUGUCCCUGUGAUAUAUUUUUCUAAGACCUGAUUUGAAAGAGAAACAAUAGCGCAACUUGGCAAAGAAGACAAAGGAAGAUAAAUGAUAAUUAAAAACGGCUUGGCACCAUGUCUAGAUCCCAACAUCCGGUCGCGAUGCUGUCCUUUUCAAAAUCAGGUCCAGGGAGAUAUUGGGUGAAGAAGCACCACUGACCCACAGGCCCCUGACUUCAGACAUGGCUUUGUUAUGGACACGAGCCUAUCUGCUGUUCACAGGGUUUAAAUCUUGACAGGCUUAUGCAGCAACAUGACUCUGAAUACACUUGCUAAAUGAACCUCUUGCAUGCCAAUCUACCUCCUACUCUCUGAGCUAAAAAAGAGCUCUGCAACUCGGAUGAUUAUAUACCUAUUUUUUCAAUCCACUCUGUAAGGCGGGAACGUGAAAUGAAAGAUAAUAGCUUCCUUUAACCGUUGUUAGAUUGGCAUACCAGAAGGUGAGAUUUUCUUUUAAACUCCUCAUGAAGAUAUUUAAUUAAAUUUUUUUUGUUGGCCACCCUGUGGCUUAUGGAGUUCCCCGACCAGGGAUCGAAUUCUAGCUGGAGCUGUGACCUACGCCACAGCUGCAGCAAUGCUGGAUGCUUAACCCACUGCACUGGGCCUGGGAUCAAACUCUCGUCCCUGCCACUGCAGAGACACUGUUGAUCCUGUUGCACCACAGUGGAAACUCCUAAUUACUUUUUUAAGAAAGAGUAUCUGGAGUUCCUGUCUUGGCGCAGCAGAAAUGAAUCUGACUAGGAACCAUGAGGUUGCGGGUUCAAUCCCUGGCCUCGCUCAGUGGGUUAAGGAUCCCAGUGUUGCCGGGGGCUGUGGUGUAGGUCGCAUGUGCAGCUCGGAUCCUGAGUUGCUGUGGCUGUGUUAUAGGCCGGCGGCUACAGCUCUCAUUCAAACCCUAGCCUGGAAACCUCCAUAUGCCACAAGUGUGGCCCUAAAAAGACAAAAGACAAAAAGAAAGAAAAAGAAAUAGAAUCCAAA